rnacentral:rRNA from 1 species
AAAAGCUGCUGCAGUUAAAAGCUCGUAGUUGGAUUUCGGGUGGGGUGGUGCGGUCCGCCUCUGGUGUGCACUGCUCCGCUCCACCUUCCUGCCGGGGACGGGCUCCUGGGCUUCACUGUCUGGGACUCGGAGUCGGCGAGGUUACUUUGAGUAAAUUAGAGUGUUCAAAGCAGGCCUACGCUCUGAAUACAUUAGCAUGGAAUAACACGAUAGGACUCUGGCCUAUCUGUUGGUCUGUGGGACCGGAGUAAUGAUUAAGAGGGGUAGUCGGGGGCAUUCGUAUUCCGUUGUCAGAGGUGAAAUUCUUGGAUUUACGGAAGACGAACAUCUGCGAAAGCAUUUGCCAAGGAUACUUUCAUUGAUCAAGAACGAAAGUUGGGGGGCUCGAAGA